CAGUGUUUCCAUGCACUCUCGCUUCUGUCACGGUGUUCCAUUGCGCCAGAAGCAGUUUAGUCCUGCUGGCCACAUCACCUGGAAAGCUGUCUGUGGACAAACGCCGGCUCCCUCGGCCUGAAAGCGAGAUGAGCACCGCAACCCCAUGGUCACCUUUGACUGGACUUAACCAUCCAGGUGCCCUUUACCUUAUUAAUGCUGUAUCUAAAAUAGUCAUUUUUCUUGAGAGCACUUGUACCAGGAAGUUCUCUUUCACGAACUACAUCAAUAUGAAUGGAAAAGCUCUGUGGCCAAGCAGUGCACCAUUCAUUUCAGUGGGAUUCGGACAGGAGAAUAUACUAGUAGACUGUGACAUAGAUGUGCUCUACUGAGAGCUGAUAACAGACCCAUGAACAUACAGCCAAGCUUAUAGAAUCAAACAGAAUCUAAAUAAAUGCUACAAAAUAUGUAUGAUUUUUUUCACAUGAAAAGAUUAUACAAUAAGUUUAGAGGCCUUCAGGAGCCGAGAUUACACAACUAGGGGUAAGGCUGCUUGACAACGAACUCCUGAAAUAACCUGAUAAACAGGAUACUUAAGCAUAUGGAUUGAUUUAAGAGCAAAUUUGCUAAUCUUGGCUUCUUUUUCAGUUACAAUAAUUUAAUAUAUGAAGGAAGAAAACCCUAACUAUUAACUGAACACACAAGUCAUCGUCACUGUGCUCUUAAAUUUCACUGAAUAGACUGUCUCACAGGAAAGGGAUUUGUGAGUAAUUCAAGAGAUGCUAGAAUUCUAAGCACAGUACCCCUUUUUAGCAUACAGGUCUAUUGGAGUCAACAGUUUGGACCAGACAAGAAAGGGUAACCAUUUGCCCAGCCGGUAAUGACUAACAGCUUACUGCACAGCAGGAUCAGGCCAAGUAAUUAGGCCCAGAGCUGCAAGUUCUAGCAAAAGGAUGAGGAGAAUAGAGGGUCAAAAUGGAAAGCACCCAAUGAAAUUUCAAGUAUAGGCUACAACCUCUGGUUCUAUAAUGCUUUGUACUUCUGUUUAAUGGAGGCAAAGAAGCUGUUAAAUAGUACCCUGUCAAGAGGACUCUGCAUAAUCUAGAAAGGCAGUUUUCCUACAUACAGAGAGAACGUUCUGGUAUGGAUCCUGGUAGUUUCGAGUGGAUAGGAACUGCACACAUCCACAAAUAUUCAAAGCCGACAUCCAGAAAUGUGGAAAGCUGCCCACAGCCAAAAAGCAUGUUGUGGAGUCCCACACUAACCUCGCAACUAUGGGUGUUACAAAUAUCUGAUAAGAAUGUUGUAUAAUUGCUAUUCAAAUAAGCAUCCUGUUGGAACAGCCAGCGGGUCUUUUAUUAUAUCUGUGAGAGAGGAGAGAGCUGCUAGUGUUGUAAAGUGCAUGCAGUCUACAACAAUUAUUUGAAUGUGAACUGCACUGCUUUGAGAGAUGUCUGGGAUUUGGGAUUUUGGUUUGAGUGAGGAGCACAAUGCACAAUUAAGCAAAAUGCUUAAAACACACACACACAUGUGACAUUCAACAAUGAUUUGAGUCCACAUCAUUAUCAUUACCAAGUUUCGUAAUGUCAGUUCAAGGAAAUCAGAAAUAUGCCAGACAUAAAGGGACAAGUUUAGUAUAUUCCUAGUCUUAUCCCACCUGUAAACAGGCCAAAAUCCAUGUCCGCUCUGCAAAUGAGUGUGGCCACUGGUGCCCCAUGGCUCCUGAAUGAGCACGCCUAACACUUUUGCAGAAAAUAAAAAUUAUAUCAUCAUCAAUCUUUAUUACGGUCCAGAGACCCAACAAAUCAUUACAAAGCAAUACACAAUUCAUACAGCCUACCUCCAGGUUAAACAAGCAUUUUGUUCAGAAUAUAGGGAUUAUUUGUUCUUGUAACCACCGAUAAAAACUUUGCCACUGCUAAUGUUCUAGCAUUUGUCAGGUCUUCCAAUAGGAACCUGACAUAGUGAGCCUCUGAUUUUCCUGGGAAAGGUACCAGCAAGGGUAGUAUCAGUUCAGCCCUGGCUUGCUCAUAUUUUGCACAACGCAACAAAAUAUGUUUUAUGGAAUCGAUGUCUUGAGCACAUGAGCAAAGUCUGUCCUGGUAGGGAACUCCUCUCAACCUGCCAUCCAACACUGAGGAAGGAAAGAUGUUUAGUCUGGCUUUGGUGAAGAGCCUUCAAUAGUUUGGUUAUAUAUUGUAUGAGGAAGUGCCAAGAUCGAUAGAGCCGAAGUAAAUUACCUCUAUCUACUGUGAAAUUCAAAACAAAUAGUUCACAAUGAUAAUGUCAAAAGCUUCUCUUUUUUUCAACAGCACCACUAUCGCCUGCUAGGGUGAGGAUCUGUCCAGACAGAAUCCACUUACAGUUCAGGCUACAAAAACUUGAACACUGACAGUAUUCUAUUUAACUUCCAUUACCCU